GGUUCCAUAGUGUAGCAGUUACAUGUCUGCUUUACACGCAGAAGUUCCUGGGUUCAUACCUCAAUGGAGCCA
rnacentral:tRNA from 1 species